rnacentral:rRNA from 1 species
GAAUUUUGGGCAAUGGGCGAAAGCCUGACCCAGCAACGCCGCGUGAAGGAUGAAAUCCCUCGGGAUGUAAACUUCGCAAGAACGGGAAGAAUAAGUAAGAGCUAACAUCUCUUACGAUGACGGUACUGUUUGUAAGCUCCGGCUAACUCCGUGCCAGCAGCCGCGGUAAUACGGGGGGAGCAAGCGUUGUUCGGAUUUACUGGGCGUAAAGGGCCCGCAGGUGGCACGGCAAGUGCCGGGUGAAAGCCCCAGGCUCAACCUGGGGAGGCCCCGGCAGACGGUCGCGCUCGAGGGUGGCAGAGGGGGGUGGAAUUGCCGGUGUAGUGGUGAAAUGCGUAGAGAUCGGCAGGAACACCAAGGGCGGAAGCAGCCCCCUGGGCCGCGCCUGACACUGAGGGGCGAAAGCGUGGGGAGCGAAC